GGGGGAGGACGAUGGCGGCCGAGGGCUCCCCCGGCCCGGCCCGCACAGGCACGGGCUGCCUUCGUGUGGGAGCCCGCAGGGCUGCGCCGGCCCGGGUUUGAGGCAGCAGCUCGCCGAAUCCUUCACGUUUGUCGCGGGGUCUUAGAGGUGGAUGAUUUCUGAGGGGUAGGAAGGCGCCUUUGGAGAGCACUGGGAGGAGAUGGGCAGGGUGGUCCUCAGGGCGCUGCUGGAAAGGCGGUGCUGUGGUAUGCUGCUGUUCGCAGCCUAGCGAUGUCCGUUAAAAAAAUCUCAAGGCUGAUUAAAGUGUUACAGAUGGAUGCUGUUGUCAGCAUGGGUCUGAAGUGUGUGUCCGUGAAGCUGAAGCUGCCAAGUGGGCAGCUAAGAAGCUGUCUUGGCAAACGAACUGUGUAUCUUUAUGCAGAAGGAAAGCGAGGAAAGUGAGAACCGUAAAGGACUGCUGCCUCAGAGCUGCUGUUGCCAUAGAGCUGCUAACGAGGAAAAAAACUGCAGCAUGGAUUUCUUCUGCUGUUGAAGGCAACUGCAGUCCUGGUCAUGAUGCUGAUGCUGCUGUACGGAGAGACCUUCUAAAGAGGACAGAUACUUACAGCCUCUGCAGGUA